rnacentral:misc_RNA from 1 species
AACUUUUGGCAAUGGAUCUCUCGGCUCUCGUGUUGAUGAAGAGCGUGGCAAACUGCGAAAAGUAAUGCGACAUGCAACCAUCAUGAACCAUCGAGUCCUUGAAUGCACCUUGCACCGGCCACGGCAACGCGACCAGUCUGCCUGGGUGAGCAUCGAUUUCUCCUCUUCACACUCUUGCCAGUGCGGUGAUGGGCCUGCACCAUCUCUUGGGGGUGAUGCUUGCCCUAAAUGCAUGGCUCCAAUGCGUCUUGUGCGGCGCGCACACCUCGAAACACUGUCCGGAAUGACGAGCGGUGUUUUCACCAAGGCGGUGCAUGCAUUUAUGCUUUUUUCUACACACACCAAUGCGAUCUCACCUCAGGCAGGACUACCCGCUGAACUUAAGCAUAUCAAUAAGCGGAGGCU